rnacentral:rRNA from 1 species
UACGAAGGGGGCUAGCGUUGUUCGGAAUCACUGGGCGUAAAGGGCGCGUAGGCGGCCGAUCAAGUCGGGGGUGAAAGCCUGUGGCUCAACCACAGAAUUGCCUUCGAUACUGUUUGGCUUGAGACCGGAAGAGGUUAGUGGAACUGCGAGUGUAGAGGUGAAAUUCGUAGAUAUUCGCAAGAACACCAGUGGCGAAGGCGGCUGACUGGUCCGGUUCUGACGCUGAGGCGCGAAAGCGUGGUGAGCAAACAGG